GCAGAGUAAGACCCUGCGCGUUAAGUGCCGGCUGAACGGGGAGUUGACAGCCGGACGAAAAGAGCGGCGCUGCCUUUUUGCUGUGGCCAGGCCCGACGGGCCGGCCGCAGUGGGCGAGCGGCACGACUCUUGCGGUGCGCGGUCUGCAUCCCGCUGC
rnacentral:ncRNA from 1 species